UUCCGUAGGUGAACCUGCGGAAGGAUCAUUCGCACAAAGAAAUGUUCUAUUCCACCCGCCACGCACCACACAGUGCUUCUUGUUUUUUCAUCAGGAAAAGUUUUUCCAUCUCGUCGAUGUUGCGAUCUCAUUGCAAUGUAUGCGAUGUUAUCUAUCUCUUGCAACGACGAAUGCCUUGGCUCGAGGAUCGUUGAAGGACGCAGCGAACUGUGCUAAACAUCUCGAAUUGCAGAUUUCCGAGAAAGAAAAGGAUUCUGAACGCAUUCUGCGAGUUGACUUCGUGUCAGCUCACGUGAUUGGCGGUGACCGAAAUAUGCAGUCGUUCGAACUCCGAAGUUUGAAUGGUUUUCACAUGUCGUCGAAGUUUUUUUCGCCGACGUGUUCGUGUGAUUCAGCGCGUCUCUCGUUUUCGAGCAGCAUUAUGAAUUCGUUUCAUGAUGUUCGUUUCGAUUGAUGUGUUUCCGUUUUGGAAUUUUUUCAAAGACAUUUUUUCACGCACGCUCACGACCAGUCACGGGAUUACCCGCUGAAUUUAAGCAUAUCAAUA
rnacentral:rRNA from 1 species